AACCGGUGAGUUUCGGUUCGGGGUUGUUGACUGCAGUUGUGUUGUGUCGUAUUUCUUCGUACGAAAAGUGAAUUUUUGUAUUUGUUUUGUACAUUUUAAUGUCAUAUUGAAUAAAAACCCCACCAUAAUUUUAAUAUAUUUAAAGUUUAUUUGUUGUUUUUAUUUUUCUCCCUGUUUUACAUGAUUUUAUUGUCUUUGUUAAAGUGGAUUUGGAAGUGACAACUAGGUAGCAUAUCUGCUGAUAAAAUCAAGUGAAUUUUUCAUUGUUGUGCCAAAAGGAUACUUACAUAGGAUUUUCAGACGGUUAUUCAACUGUUUAUGUCACGAGCAACUAGCGGUGUCCAAGAUGUGAGGAUCGUCGCCUGUCUGGCGCUCUGAGAGGAUGGAGGAGAAGAAAGGCAGCGGCGGGGGCAGGAUGGUGGGCUCCAAAGUUUCUCAGAUCGCGAACAUCUUCCAGGCGAUGGCACCGGCAGGAGUUAAAGGCGGGGGGGAAGGGGAGGUUCUGGCGGUGAGUCCAGGGGAAUCACCGAAGACAGCGGAGGGAGUAACUGUUGUGCGCACCGAGAGCCACGUAGCACGGUUCAACAAUGCACGAGCCCUCUUCGAGAAGCUCGGUGAGUAUCAUUAGAGUACCGUAGUGUUGGGUUGUUGGUCGGAGUAAUCCAGUGGCUUUAUCCAGUAUCUCACAAUGUGUCACUUUAUACUGUACGUUUUGGCAGUUUUGGUACAGCUGGAGGUUGGGAAUGCCCUUGUCAUGUAAGUAGAUAAGAAAAGGUCACUCAGAGUAAAAACAUCAAACUUUCUUUUUAAGAGAGGGAGAGGUCUGCUUAUCCAUUUUCAUUUGGAUUUCUUGGUUCAAGAGAUUGCAUUGAAGGUCUAAAUUGUCACUAAUGAGAAAUUGUGGUGUAUCCGUUAUCUCUCUCUCUCUCUCUCAGUAUAUAAAUGUGCAUUACUUCAGCAUUUUUAAUGGCUGAAAGCUACAAUUUGUCAUAUGUAUACUCUGACACCCAAAAACAAUUUCCCAAAAUCAAUUUUUGUAAAAAAGGACUGUUGCUUUGAUUGCAAUUUAAAAAUUUAAUUUAAUUAUUGUACAGUACAAUUGUACAGUUUUACAAAAGUUAUUGAUGGAGAACACACCUGAAAAACUGAAAAAUCACAUAAAUAAAUUAGUUAGAUAAUUAUUAUGUUGUUGAACCUUCAACAUUUGUAACAAGCUAGGUGUCACCAAGGCUUAAAACAACAGUGUUGGAAAAUUAGAAUUAUUUUCAUCUGACCCAUCAUCGUCUUCUUAACAAAAUAAAUUAUUUUGGUGGUUUUUAGAAUUUUAGUAUACAAAUUAGUUCACAAAUGUCUAAACUAUGUUUAAUUUUAACAUUACACUCCAAUUUGUAUAUAAAAAUUACCAGGAAGUAUCACCACCAGUACCACCAGUAUUUAUGAAGUAUUAUUAUAUACUUCUAAACUAGUUUAUACAUAGUCAAUACACUCAGAUCUUCAAUUUAAAAUUAUCUUCAAUGUUUUCUUUAGAAUAAGGCAACAGUUGUGAAACUGAGAUGUCUGAACAUGAUUAUAAAUCAUACUAAUGCUUAUUUUCAAUAGAGAAACGUUUUACGAGAUUGUCCAGGAUUGAACCGUUCUCAGUGUGGGUCAGUUGCAGAGUGAGGUCGGAGCAGGUGUUAACAAAGUGAGGACUGUUAACUAGGUUACGGCUGACUGUCAACAGUGCAGUGUUAAUUACAAGUCCUGUCACCGCACGUCUGUAGGGUUGGGAUAGGACUGUUCUUGUUCAUCACUGUACUCGGAUGUCACAAAAUCUGUUCAAUUUUAGUACACUGGUAGUUGUGAUACUACCACAGUGACGUAUAUAGAAAACAUUUUUUGAGGGAUUGACACACUGGAUGGUUUAGGAAAUAUAAAAUACCCCCCCCCCCCAAAAAAAAAGGUCAGGAAUCUUCUCCCUUGAAAGUUUUGACCUUUAAGACCUCAUAAAUUUGUUCUAGCUUAAAACAAAGUACUGGGUGCAAUUUUACAAUAUCUCUUUCAAAAUGUCAUGGGGGUUCAAGUACCCUGAGCCCCCCCCCCCCUUAUACACGCCUACCAUACUGUUAUGGACUAAGCUUAGUAAUCUGUUAUUCAAUGAUCUUACAACAAAUUCCCAUGGAUCUACUGUAGAUGUAAAUUGAUAAAAAAUUAACUACUCUUGGGCCUCUGGCUGGAGAAACAAUAUUAGAGAUCUCAAUUAUUUCUUUAUUUUUACAUCCAUCAUGAAUAACAAUAAUAACCAUAACAAU
rnacentral:lncRNA from 1 species